GGAGGCAGCAGUGGGGAAUUUUGGACAAUGGGGGCAACCCUGAUCCAGCAAUGCCGCGUGUGUGAAGAAGGCCUUCGGGUUGUAAAGCACUUUUGUCCGGAAAGAAAGCUUUGGCGCUAAUACCUCUGGAGGAUGACGGUACCGGAAGAAUAAGCACCGGCUAACUACGUGCCAGCAGCCGCGGUAAUACGUAGGGUGCGAGCGUUAAUCGGAAUUACUGGGCGUAAAGCGUGCGCAGGCGGUGCUGUAAGACCGAUGUGAAAUCCCCGGGCUUAACCUGGGAACUGCAUUGGUGACUGCAGCGCUGGAGUAUGGCAGAGGGGGGUGGAAUUCCACGUGUAGCAGUGAAAUGCGUAGAGAUGUGGAGGAACACCGAUGGCGAAGGCAGCCCCCUGGGCCAAUACUGACGCUCAUGCACGAAAGCGUGGGGAGCAAACAGGAUUAGAUACCCUGGUAGUCCACGCCCUAAACGAUGUCAACUGGUUGUCGGGCCUUCAUUGGCUUGGUAACGUAGCUAACGCGUGAAGUUGACCGCCUGGGGAGUACGGUCGCAAGAUUAAAACUCAAAGGAAUUGACGGGGACCCGCACAAGCGGUGGAUGAUGUGGAUUAAUUCGAUGCAACGCGAAAAACCUUACCUACCCU
rnacentral:rRNA from 1 species